AGAUUGAACGCUGGCGGCAGGCCUAACACAUGCAAGUCGAGCGGUAGAGAGGUGCUUGCACCUCUUGAGAGCGGCGGACGGGUGAGUAAAGCCUAGGAAUCUGCCUGGUAGUGGGGGAUAACGCUCGGAAACGGACGCUAAUACCGCAUACGUCCUACGGGAGAAAGCAGGGGACCUUCGGGCCUUGCGCUAUCAGAUGAGCCUAGGUCGGAUUAGCUAGGUUGGUGAGGUAAUGGC
rnacentral:rRNA from 1 species